ensembl:lncRNA
GCCGUACGCUCGUCGCAACUCCCGGCGCACGAAGUCCGGCAGAUUGAGGCCCGGCCGUAGCGUACGUUCCACGCGGCCCCAGUGCAGCUCAGCGUGCAGGCUGCUGCCUUCCGGCCACUGCGUCCCGCUCUCGACCGCCGCCCGACCCGCAUCUGCGGGCUCCUGAAGCGACGGCCCUGGGUAGCCGGGCGCUGGGAACGGCGGUUGCAGGGCCGCAGCGUAGGCCUGCGGGAAGGCCCACAAGGGCGGCGUGAUCACUAGCGUCGCGCCUGUGGCGUGGAAGCAGUGGUAUUCCCGCGGAGCCGCCCACUCGCCCGCGCUCAGGCUCAGGGGCCGGCUGCAGAAGUUGUGGGCCUGAAUGGGGGGCAGCAGCGGAGGGGCGGGCAGGUAGGUGUAGGUGAGGUGCUGCAGCAGAGGCCAGACGUCCUGCCCAGGCGCCAGGCAGCAGUAUGUAUACAUGGUGUGGAGCUCAGGCGGCCGGCAUUGCUACUGGGGCCUCGUCCUGGUCCAGACCUGGGGUGGGGGUGUGGGUGCACUUUGUUCUCAUCUCCACCACCGACCCUGGGGCCUGGUUACCCGGGGCGCUGGUUCACAGCAGGGGGCCCUGCACGUGUGCCGGAGUUCGGGGAACUCUUACUAAGGAGUUCAGCUCCCACCUCACCUCUUGUCCUAGGGCUGGACCCAAACCCCAGGCUCCCAGCAGGCAUGAAGGACCCAAGCCUUUUUCAAGCCCCCAGUCCUGAAAUGCUCUUCCCAGGUAGCUCCCUACUCACUUGCCUCCUUUAGCCUGGGGGAGCUGGUCCCCAGCAUUUGGGGGAACCAGAGAUAUCCAAGAGCGGGGCUCCUCUCCACCACUUUUUAGUUGAGCUGCUCUCCUCCAUGCCCUGCCUCAGCCGCACCUUCCGGUUUCCAGGCAAAGGGAAACACCUUGAGCUGGCCAGGAGCCAGCCAGCUUGUGUCUACACUGGGUGAGCCUGCUGGUCAUACCGGUUGCGAAUUAGACGCUGAGGUCUGUGCUCAGGGAUGCCCGCAACAUCACAGGACAUCCAGUGGCUUUUCCAGUCAAGUUAGCUCCCUGUUCUCCUCAUCCCCUUUUUCCACCCAGGUGGAGUUAUCCUAACAUUUGAGUGAAGCUCCUGCACACCAGGCACUGAAUCAAGUUGCUUAUGAGCAUCUAACUUCAAGUUUACAUCAACCUUAGGAAUGAGGUACUAAUAUUUUUCUGACUUUACAUAGCAAGAAGCAGCUUGCCUCAGAUUUGGUACACAAUAAAUGUAUUCUAUGACUGGGGCUUACAUAGGUUAAGUGUCUUGUCCAGACUCACACAGCUAGUUAUGGUAAGGGCAGAAUUCAACCCCGUGUCUGUCUCAAGACUUGUGCUCUCAACAAUAGCCUAAUCACCAAUCCAUGCUAGGGCUUCUUUUAGACUAUCUGACAGUCCUCCCUUCUAGAAUGUUACUUAAGAGCUUAUAACUUUUUUUUAAAAAGAACUUCUAAUUCAUAUUAGCCACAUGAAGAACAUGGUGGUAUCAUUCUCAUUUAAUAGAUGAGGAACAAGAGAUUCGGAGAAGUUAGGCCACUUUCCCAGGUUCACAUAGUCUAUAACUGGCACAGUGGGAUUUGAACCCAGUGCAAAUGAUUCCAAAGCCCAGAAGCUACUUGGGUGAAGCCACGAAGGUUGCUUCGUUCAGAUGGGUUGAGCACUGUCUGAGCUCCAGUCCCCUCUGGCUGCAGUUCAUGCCCUUCCACCUCUCUUCCCCAGUGGGUAGUAGUUGCUGGAUGAUUAAAAUGGAUACCCUCUUCCAGUUUCUAGGCCGCCAGGCCAUCAUACUUUCCUUCCCCUUCUGUUGACUUAAGCAGCAUCAUGACUAACCCCCCAUAGGUUCUCCUAGAUUCUCAGCAUCCCACAAAGCCCAGCUACCCUCUGAGGAGGUCCCCCACACUCAGCCUGGUGAUGUCACAUUUCUUUAUUCCUGACUGAGCCACUCUCUCAAGUCUAAUUCAGGGCAGUGGCCUAGUGAGAGCAGCUAGGACUAGGUUAUGGUAUGUAUCUAACGUGCCCUACCCAACAGCUCCAAGAAGGGAGCCUCUCCCUCUGUCCACUUAAGAACUGGUCCCAGGACAUAGUGACCUUUGUUGGGGGAGGCCUCCCACCCCCAAGAUGUCCAUGGCUUGAUCCCUGGAGACUUGUUAGUAUGUUAUAUUACAUGGCAAGGGGGAAUUAAGGUUGCAGAUGGUAUUAAGGUUGUUAAUUAGCAGUCCUUAAAAUAGAUUAUCCUGGAUUAUCUGGGUGGGCCCAGUGUAAUCACAGGAGUCAAAUGUGGAAGAGAGAGGCUGAAGAGUCAGCGUAUGUGAUAAUAAGAGUCAACUAGCUCUUGCUGGUUUUGAAGAUGAAAGGGGUCAUGAGCCAAGGAAUGCAGGCAGCCUCAAAGCUGGAAAAGGCAAGGAAGUGGAUUCUUCCCUAGACCCUCCAGAAAGGAAUGCAGUUCUGCCAACACCUUGACUUUAGUUUAUGAGACAGAAUUCCAACCUCCAAAACUGUAAUAGAUUUGUAUUAAGCCACUAAGUUUGUGGUUGUUAGAGCGUUAGUAGGAAAUUAAUAUACCUCCCCACUCCUAUUUAUAACUUUGCCCCCCCUCCAAAUCCCAGCACUUGAGGAAUGUCCAAAACUACCUAUUAUAGACUGACCUCACCCCAGCCUGGAGCUCAACGAUGGACCCUGUAUGACUGGCCAGUUUCUCCCCCAUGGGGAUCUGCUCAUACCUGGGUGGGAGAUGAGGAGAGUGUGAGACCAAGCUCAAGUUGGAGCCUGGGACAGUGAGAAGCCUGCGUUUUAAUAUUGGUUCUGACGUGCUUGCUGAGGGAGACUGGGGAGGCAGUCUUCAGGAAAAAUGAGAAAAAUAAGGACCAAGCUGUGAGUUUCUCAGCAUUCAUUCACCCUGAUUCCAGUAACAGCCCCCAGAUUUUUUGGGUCCCACACCUUAUUUACUCUCAGGAAAGUGGUUCUGGGGGAGUUGGCUCUAGCUCAUCCUUAAAUUACCUGGGUGAUUUAGGGCUAAACCAAUCAUCGCUGUCAUCCUUCUGGCCAUAGUGAUUGGUUUAGGGUAGCCAUGUGACUCAAUUUGGGCCAAUGGGAGCCAAGCCCAGGGCUUUGUUCUCUAAUUGCAUGGAGUGAAGAAGUGCUCUCUUCCCUGGACAGAGAUCUGAAAGAAUGCAGUUCUGGGUCCAGAGGUGGAGAUCUCUCUGAGCAUAGAGCUGCAGAAGAAGUGGAGCCAAGGGUCAGAGAGAGAAACUGGGUCCUGAUGACAUCGUUUGAAUCCUGGACUUUGAAGUUACAUAAGCCAAUAAAUCCCCUUUUUUCCCCGUCCGGUUUUAUUGAAAUAUAGUUGACAUACAGCACUGUAUAAGUUUAAGGUGCACAGCGUGAUGAUUUGACUUACAUAUACUAGGAAGUGAUUACCACAGUAGGUCUGGUUAACAUCCAUCAUCUCAUAUAGAUAC